rnacentral:rRNA from 1 species
UACGUAGGGUGCAAGCGUUGCCCGGAUUUAUUGGGCGUAAAGGGCGCGUAGGCGGCUCUGCACGUUCGUUGUGAAAUCGCCCGGCUCAACUGGGCGGGGUCAGCGGAUACGGCAGAGCUUGAGCAAGCUAGGGGGCAAUGGAAUUCCCGGUGUAGUGGUGGAAUGCGUAGAUAUCGGGAGGAACACCAGUGGCGAAGGCGGUUGCCUGGGGCUUUGCUGACGCUGAUGCGCGAAAGCGUGGGGAGCGAACAGG